rnacentral:rRNA from 1 species
GGCUCAGAUUGAACGCUGGCGGCAGGCCUAACACAUKSMAGUCGAGCGGUAGAGAGAAGCUUGCUUCUCUUGAGAGCGGCGGACGGGUGAGUAAUACCUAGGAAUCUGCCUGAUAGUGGGGGAUAACGUUCGGAAACGGACGCUAAUACCGCAUACGUCCUACGGGAGAAAGCAGGGGACCUUCGGGCCUUGCGCUAUCAGAUGAGCCUAGGUCGGAUUAGCUAGUUGGUGAGGUAAUGGCUCACCAAGGCUACGAUCCGUAACUGGUCUGAGAGGAUGAUCAGUCACACUGGAACUGAGACACGGUCCAGACUCCUACGGGAGGCAGCAGUGGGGAAUAUUGGACAAUGGGCGAAAGCCUGAUCCAGCCAUGCCGCGUGUGUGAAGAAGGUCUUCGGAUUGUAAAGCACUUUAAGUUGGGAGGAAGGGCAGUUACCUAAUACGUGAUUGUCUUGACGUUACCGACAGAAUAAGCACCGGCUAACUCUGUGCC